rnacentral:rRNA from 1 species
CUUUGCUGGCGGCCGGCGCACGGGUGAGUAACACGUAUCCAACCUGCCCUUUACUCGGGGAUAGCCUUUCGAAAGAAAGAUUAAUACCCGAUAGCAUAAUGAUUCCGCAUGGUUUCAUUAUUAAAGGAUUCCGGUAAAGGAUGGGGAUGCGUUCCAUUAGGUUGUUGGUGAGGUAACGGCUCACCAAGCCUUCGAUGGAUAGGGGUUCUGAGAGGAAGGUCCCCCACAUUGGAACUGAGACACGGUCCAA